rnacentral:rRNA from 1 species
CCUACGGGAGGCAGCAGUGGGGAAUAUUGCACAAUGGGCGAAAGCCUGAUGCAGCGACGCCGCGUGAGGGAUGACGGCCUUCGGGUUGUAAACCUCUUUCAGUAGGGAACAAGGGGGCCUCUUCGGGGGUUUCUGAGGGUACUUGCAGAAGAAGCGCCGGCUAACUACGUGCCAGCAGCCGCGGUAAUACGUAGGGCGCAAGCGUUGUCCGGAAUUAUUGGGCGUAAAGAGCUCGUAGGCGGUUUGUCGCGUCUGCUGUGAAAACCUGGGGCUUAACCCUGGGCGUGCAGUGGGUACGGGCAGACUUGAGUGCGGUAGGGGAGACUGGAAUUCCUGGUGUAGCGGUGGAAUGCGCAGAUAUGUGGAGGAACACCGAUGGCGAAGGCAGGUCUCUGGGCCAUUACUGACACUGAGAAGCGAAAGCAUGGGUAGCGAACAGGAUUAGAUACCCUGGUAGUCCAUGCCGUAAACGUUGGGCACUAGGUGUGGGGGACAUUCCACGUUCUCCGCGCCGUAGCUAACGCAUUAAGUGCCCCGCCUGGGGAGUACGGCCGCAAGGCUAAAACUCAAAGGAAUUGACGGGGGCCCGCACAAGCGGCGGAGCAUGCUGAUUAAUUCGAUGCAACGCGAAGAACCUUAC